rnacentral:rRNA from 1 species
CCUACGGGAGGCAGCAGUGAGGAAUUUUGCGCAAUGGGAGCAAUCCUGACGCAGCAACGCCGCGUGGGUGAUGAAGGCCUUCGGGUCGUAAAGCCCUGUCGGGAGGGAAGAAAUGAUUGAGAGCUAAUACCUCUUGGUCUUGACGGUACCUCCGAAGGAAGCACCGGCUAACUCCGUGCCAGCAGCCGCGGUAAU